rnacentral:rRNA from 1 species
AGGACGAACGCUGGCGGCGUGCUUAACACAUGCAAGUCGAGCGAGGCCCCUCCUUCGGGAGGGUGUCCUAGCGGCGAACGGGUGAGUAACACGUGGGCAACCUGCCCUCAGCUCUGGGAUAACUCCGGGAAACCGGGGCUAAUACCGGAUACGACCUCCACGGGCAUCCGCGGAGGUGGAAAGUUUUUCGGCUGAGGAUGGGCCCGCGGCCUAUCAGCUAGUUGGUGGGGUGAUAGCCCACCAAGGCGACGACGGGUA